rnacentral:rRNA from 1 species
CCUACGGGAGGCAGCAGUGAGGAAUAUUGGUCCAUGGGCGCGAGCCUGAACCAGCCAAGUAGCGUGAAGGAUGACUGCCCUACGGGUUGUAAACUUCUUUUAUAAAGGAAUAAAGUGAGGCACGUGUGCCUUUUUGUAUGUACUUUAUGAAUAAGGAUCGGCUAACUCCGUGCCAGCAGCCGCGGUAAUACGGAGGAUCCGAGCGUUAUCCGGAUUUAUUGGGUUUAAAGGGAGCGUAGAUGGGUUGUUAAGUCAGUUGUGAAAGUUUGCGGCUCAACCGUAAAAUUGCAAUUGAUACUGGCAGCCUUGAGUACAGUUGAGGUAGGCGGAAUUCGUGGUGGAGCGGUGAAAUGCUUAGAUAUCACGAAGAACCCGGAUUGCGAAGGCAGCUUACUAAACUGCAACUGACGUUGAUGCUCGAAAGUGUGGGUAUCAAACAGGAUUAGAUACCCUAGUAGUC